AACGAACGCUGGCGGCGUGCUUAACACAUGCAAGUCGAGCGGGAAAGUUUCCUUCGGGAAGCGAGUACAGCGGCAGACGGGGUGAGUACAACGUAGGUAACCUACCCUCGAGACCGGGAUAACCUGUCGAAAGACGGGCUAAUACCGGAUAAGACCACAAGGGCUGCGGCCUUUGAGGUAAAAGAUGGCCUCUGCUUGCAAGCUAUCACUUGGGGGAUGGGCCUGCGCGCCAUUAGCUAGUUGGUGAGGUAACGGCUCACCAAGGCAAAGAUGGCUAGCUGGUCUGAGAGGAUGGCCAGCCACACUGGGACUGAGAC
rnacentral:rRNA from 1 species